GACAGAGGUCCCAAGCGUUAGGCGGAAUCACUGGGCUUAAAGCGUGUGUAGGCGGACUUGUAAGUACCUUGUGAAAUCCCACGGCUCAACCGUGGAACUGCUGGGUAUACUGCGAGUCUUGAGCCACCUAGGGGCGAGCGGAACAAGUGGUGGAGCGGUGAAAUGCGUAGAUAUCACUUGGAACGCCAAUGGUGAAAACAGCUCGCUGGGGGUGUGCUGACGCUGAGACACGAAAGCCAGGGGAGGCAAACGGG
rnacentral:rRNA from 1 species